rnacentral:rRNA from 1 species
GAUGAACGCUGGCGGCGUGCUUAACACAUGCAAGUCGAACGAAGAUGCCGGAGUGCUUGCACUUUGGCAGACUGAGUGGCGGACGGGUGAGUAACGCGUGGGUAACCUGCCUUAUACAGGGGGAUAACAGUUGGAAACGACUGCUAAUACCGCAUAAGCGCACGGUAUCGCAUGAUACAGUGUGAAAAACUCCGGUGGUAUAAGAUGGACCCGCGUCUGAUUAGCUUGUUGGUGAGGUAACGGCCCACCAAGGCGACGAUCAGUAGCCGGCCUGAGAGGGUGAACGGCCACAUUGGGACUGAGACACGGCCCAAAACUCCUACGGGAGGCAGCAGUGGGGAAUAUUGCACAAUGGGGGAAACCCUGAUGCAGCGACGCCGCGUGAGUGAUGAAGUAUUUCGGUAUGUAAAACUCUAUCAGCAGGGAAGAUAAAUGACGGUACCUGACUAAGAAGCACGGCUAAAUACGUGCCAGCAGCCG